rnacentral:rRNA from 1 species
GAAUCUUCCGCAAUGGACGAAAGUCUGACGGAGCAACGCCGCGUGAGUGAUGAAGGUUUUCGGAUCGUAAAGCUCUGUUGCCAAGGAAGAACGCUCAUGUGUUAACUGCACAUGAGGUGACGGUACCUGAGAAGAAAGCCCCGGCUAACUACGUUCCAGCAGCCGCGGUAAUACGUAGGGGGCAAGCGUUGUCCGGAAUUAUUGGGCGUAAAGCGCGCGCAGGCGGUCUUUUAAGUCAGGUGUUUAAGCCCGGGGCUCAACCCCGGUUCGCAUCUGAAACUGGAAGGCUUGAGUGCAGAAGAGGAGAGUGGAAUUCCACGUGUAGCGGUGGAAUGCGUAGAUAUGUGGAGGAACACCAGUGGCGAAGGCGACUCUCUGGUCUGUAACUGACGCUGAGGCGCGAAAGCGUGGGGAGCAAACAGG